GUGGGGAAUUUUGGACAAUGGGCGAAAGCCUGAUCCAGCCAUGCCGCGUGCAGGAUGAAGGCCUUCGGGUUGUAAACUGCUUUUGUACGGAACGAAAAGACUUCUUCUAAUACAGGAGGUCCAUGACGGUACCGUAAGAAUAAGCACCGGCUAACUACGUGCCAGCAGCCGCGGUAAUACGUAGGGUGCAAGCGUUACUCGGAAUUACUGGGCGUAAAGCGUGCGCAGGCGGUUAUAUAAGACAGAUGUGAAAUCCCCGGGCUCAACCUGGGAACUGCAUUUGAGACUGUAUAGCUAGAGUACGGUAGAGGGGGAUGGAAUUCCGCGUGUAGCAGUGAAAUGCGUAGAUAUGCGGAGGAACACCGAUGGCGAAGGCAAUCCCCUGGACCUGUACUGACGCUCAUGCACGAAAGCGUGGGGAGCAAACAGGAUUAGAUACCCCUGUAGUCC
rnacentral:rRNA from 1 species